GCUUGAGCAAGCAGUGCGCGAGUUAAAAGUGUAAUAAUAAUUAAUAAUUUCAACGUGCUUACUUAAAAGUAAUCUAUGCAGCUCUAUUGACCACCUUAAACCCACUCAAUGCUCAUCGUACCGUACGAUGUACAGUAAGCGACGCUCUCUAACCUCAUGAGAACAUGAGUUCAGCCGCAGCAGCAGCGCCGAGUGAUGCUCUCCAAGCAACGAAACGGCGACGCUUAAGCUCAGCCGCAGCAACAGCGCUAAGCGAUCGAGCGCUUACGAACGAAAGACGCGAGCAGCAAAGCAGCGACGCUCACAUGUAGGAGAGGCUGAGAGUGCAUAAGAACGCACGUAGACCACGUAGGUCAGUUCUGGUUGGACCUUUGGCGAGUAAACAAGCGGUGCGCGAUUUGUCAGUAUACAACAAAAUUAAUAAUUCCAACAUGCUUACUUACAAGCAAAAUAUGAAGCUGGCUUGACCAAUGUUUAAGUGAUUGAAAAUGCAAUAUUCGUUGUCCACACAGACGUUGCAGUUGACGCCGCGCCACGACUUCGCGCCUGCUCCAGGCUGUCCCCAAGCUCCUGCUGUUCCACAUUCGUUUGCUGCUUAAGUCAAUCAAGUGAGUUCAACGAACGCGUAGGACUUCAUACACGAUAUCUGUCUACUACAGUCGGAUCUACAUCCUGGAGAGUUACCGGAGUAAACUGGACUAAAGACUGCAACUUCAUCUGCGGAUCUACGUCUUUGAUAGUUACCGGAGUAAACUGGACUAAAGACUACAACAUCAUCAGCAUCAGCGCCAGUAGCAACAACAAUAGCAGCUAAUCCUGCUUGAAACGAUGCUGAAUCAAUUACUUUUAUUUCAAUUAAUGCAUUAAUACAUUAUUUGUAUUUUUAUUCUAAUUAAUUGUAUUCCUUUUUAAGUAGUCAUUAUUUCUCUUGGGGAUUGCCUAUGUUUGGCAGCAUAUAUAUGUGAAUCAAAGAUACAUGCAUAUAUUCAAAUAAAGUUAUACAACGACAGCAAAAUUGCGCCGCCUUUUGCCUUGAAUGUCAGACCAGGCGCCUCCUGCAUCCAUUUCCAGCAGCAAUUGGAAUUGUAUUGCUAAACUUGCAAAGGAGCAACUGCGUCACAUGAACAAGCAACACACUACAGUGGGGUCAACGUCCUGGAGACAUGCCGGAGCC